GACGAACGCUGGCGGCGUGCCUAAUACAUGCAAGUAGAACGCUGAAGGAGGAGCUUGCUUCUCUGGAUGAGUUGCGAACGGGUGAGUAACGCGUAGGUAACCUGCCUGGUAGCGGGGGAUAACUAUUGGAAACGAUAGCUAAUACCGCAUAAGAGUAGAUGUUGCAUGACAUUUGCUUAAAAGGUGCAAUUGCAUCACUACCAGAUGGACCUGCGUUGUAUUAGCUAGUUGGUGGGGUAACGGCUCACCAAGGCGACGAUACAUAGCCGACCUGAGAGGGUGAUCGGCAACGCUGGGACGGAGACACGGCCCAGACUCCUGCGGGAGGCAGCAGUAGGGAAUCUUCGGCAAUGGAAGGAAGUCUGACCGAGCAACGCCGCGUGAGUGAAGAAGGUUGUCGGAUCGGAAAGCUCAGUUGUAAGAGAAGAACGAGUGGGAGAGUGGAAAGUUCACACUGUGACGGUAUCUUACCAGAAAGAGACGGCUAACUACGUG
rnacentral:rRNA from 1 species